AUUGAACGCUGGCGGAACGCUUUACACAUGCAAGUCGAACGGUAGAGGGGGCAACCCCUCGAGAGUGGCGAACGGGUGAGUAAUAUAUCGGAACGUGCCCAGUCGUGGGGGAUAACGUAGCGAAAGUUACGCUAAUACCGCAUACGAUCUAAGGAUGAAAGCGGGGGAUCGCAAGACCUCGCGCGAUUGGAGCGGCCGAUAUCAGAUUAGGUAGUUGGUGGGGUAAAGGCUCACCAAGCCAACGAUCUGUAGCUGGUCUGAGAGGACGACCAGCCACACUGGAACUGAGACACGGUCCAGACUCCUACGGGAGGCAGCAGUGGGGAAUUUUGGACAAUGGACGCAAGUCUGAUCCAGCCAUUCCGCGUGCAGGAUGAAGGCUCUCGGGUUGUAAACUGCUUUUGUACGGAACGAAAAGGUCUCUCUUAAUACGGGGGACUCAUGACGGUACCGUAAGAAUAAGCACCGGCUAACUACGUGCCAGCCGCCGCCGUAAAAC
rnacentral:rRNA from 1 species